UACGAAGGGGGCUAGCGUUGCUCGGAAUUACUGGGCGUAAAGCGCACGUAGGCGGCUUUCUAAGUCGGGGGUGAAAUCCUGGGGCUCAACUCCAGAACUGCCUUCGAUACUGGAGAGCUCGAGUCCGGGAGAGGUGAGUGGAACUGCGAGUGUAGAAGUGAAAUUCGUAGAUAUUCGCAAGAACACCAGUGGCGAAGGCGGCUCACUGGCCCGGUACUGACGCUGAGGUGCGAAAGCGUGGGGAGCAAACAGG
rnacentral:rRNA from 1 species